UCAGGGGCGGAGGGAUCCCUCAGCCCAGAUUGCAAGAGGGCGCAGGCCAGGCUGAGGGACCCCACCAGUACAUG
rnacentral:pre_miRNA from 1 species